ACAACUCUAAUGACAUAGAUCGCGUUCAUCAGGACGUAGCGCUACCGCAGCGAUCACUAAUUUUCUGCUGAACGCGCCGAUUAGUUGUGAGCGCUCUGGGAUCAGUCGCCAUUUUUUCCAUCAGAUUUAAAAUACGUUACGCUACCGAUGCAUGAUGGAUUAAACGUCACAUACGCCAAAUGCCACAAAAUGUUUUGGAAAACGAAAACAAAGCAUUUUGUUUAUUGUUCUCGGUUGACUAGUCCCCUCGAUUUGUGCCAAAAAUGGGUGAAAACAAUUUAAUAUGCAUUACUUAUGAUUUUGAUCUAAAAAGCACGUUCAGCAGGACAACCAAUCGAUGGUACAUCGCUCACUGAUCAACUUGUCCUGAUGAACGCGACCAUAGACAAUAUAGACAUACGACAUUUUUAAAAUGGCGCAUAUGCCGCGCUGAACGAGCGGCUAAUUCACAAGAUGCAUUCCAUUUCCUAUUGGUCGAGAUAUUUUGAGGUUAGGGUUAUAAUAGGGUUGUUAUUUAUUUUCGAUUUCGGUGUUAUUUUAUAUUUUGUGUUUGAAUUUGAAAUUAACAGACUAUUACCUUAAAUUAACGUCUAUCUAAAAAAAUCAUAACAUCGUUCUUCUCGGUAAAACCUUGCAUCCAAAUAGGUAGGCUUAAGAAGAAAUCAGAAGAAUAUUUUCGUCAAAAUGAGUAAAUAAUUAGGUGCAAGCUAGGUCAUAUACCAAAGUCCCAUAAAGGCUAGCAAACUAUGGACAAGACCACAACACAUUUAAAAUCAAAACAAUUGACGUAGGUAAAAUGGGUUUGGAAAAGGGAACCACGGGGAGGGGCUCUACAGGGAAUAGGCAUCACAGGGAAGAGGCAUUACGAGGAAAAAAACUACUGACUACUAGGACUAGGAUUAUUCAGGCUAAGAUGGAGAGACAAUAAAUGCACCCAUUGUCAACAAGGACUUACAGUUAUUGGGAAUGGAAGGAGUUUGUUUAUGACAGCUCUAGGUGGAAGCAAAAAGUUGAUGCAACCAAGAGUAUAAGUCCCAUCAUGGGUUUCAGUGCUACGGAGUAGGUACCUCUAUUUUAUUGGUUCGUAGAACAUUUUGGAAGUCAACAUGCAAGAAUUGUAUAGUAUUUAUUACUUUUUAGUUCUUACACCUUGAUUAACUUAGUGCCUACACUAGA